rfam:Escherichia vulneris NBRC 102420 DNA, contig: EV10242008.
ACAGUGCCACGGCCGUCUGAGCUAAACGCAACCCAAUAAAAAACAAAGGCGCAGAUUCUGCGCCUUUUUU